rnacentral:rRNA from 1 species
AGUAACGCGUGAGUAACCUGCCUCUAAGAGGGGAAUAACAUUCUGAAAAGAAUGCUAAUACCGCAUAACAUAUAUUUAUCGCAUGGUAGAUAUAUCAAAGAUUUAUCGCUUAGAGAUGGACUCGCGUCCGAUUAGUUAGUUGGUGAGGUAACGGCUCACCAAGACCGCGAUCGGUAGCCGGACUGAGAGGUUGAACGGCCACAUUGGGACUGAGACACGGCCCAG